rnacentral:lncRNA from 10 species
CAGUGCUUUAUAUUGUUUCAGUAGGAUAAUGAUCUGAUAGAAGAGAUGACAGGACUUAUGGAUGGAUUGGAUGUAAGUGGUGAGGAGAAAGGGGUUAGGGGCCAGGCUGAGUGCCCAGAUUUCUGCCUGAGCCACUGGGUGGAGAUGAGAAGGAAAGCAAGUUGCCUCAGAAGACCUAGCUCAGAGAAGAAGUGCUUGGAUUUGAUUUCAGCUUACUUGAUCCCAGGGCCAUGUGCAGGACCAGCUGAAACCCACCUCUCUGUACCCCCACCCCUGGAAGGACUCUGGAUCCAGGAGCCAACCAGUACCCAGAUUCCCCAGG